AUGGCCAGGGCACAGCCGGACUACACAUCCCAGUAUGCCCUGCGCCUUCAGCCCGCUGAGUCUCCCAGCGCUCCGCCGCACGGCACGCCGGGAGUUGUAGUCCUCAGCGGCUCCCAGGCGGCGAGGACCGCGGGCAACGCAGCUCCUGCCGUAUUUCCUCACCUGAUCUCCUCGGCUGUGUACAUCCCGAAGGAGACUCCGACCAGCCUCCUCCACGGUACCACCUUCGGCUGCCUCAUAGUGACCAAACGAGUCCUCCCGGCCGACACUUCGUCCCUGUCUUCAGGGAGACGCCACAGCGAGCACCACGCGGCCCCGGCGGGCGGGAGCAAGCGAGGCCGGGCGGUACCACUGCGGCGGAGGGGCGGCCUCUCCUCGGCAGCGCGGCGGUGGUGCCGCCCAGCUUCCCAGAGGGCAGUGCGGGAGAGCGGGCAUGGCGGCGCGGCGGGUGGGUGGUGGUUCCUGGCAGCGGGUAUUAUCGCUGAGCCGGCGGUGCUGUGUGCUGGGCGGGAGGUGAGAGUGUUACCGAUGUUCUUCUAGCAGUACAGCUCUUGGGAAGACUGUGGACAAUGCAGAAGUUGCGCAAGAAGAAAUUGUGCUCCCCCGAAGGAAAACCUGGUGAGUGUUUACUGCUGGAAUUCCCUUGACCUAGAAGAAGGUCAUUGUUAGACAGCUAAAUGUAGUCUGUCCACCAGAGUUGAACAUGAAGAUUCAGCUGCUGUGUUCCAGGAUUUAAUGUGUCUCUCCAUGCUGACUUGGAGCUCUGGGAAUAUUCUUGUACACUCCAUUUUUGACCUUUGUUUUAAAAACAAUUAGAAGGACUGUAUUUUUAAGCAUAGUUCUAUUGCCUUGUAAAAGAUCAUGUUUGAUAGAAAUCCGUAAAAUAAGUUAGUUUGACUGUCAACAUGCGGGUGUGUUUCAGCAAAAUAAACUUGAUUGUUGACAGCUGCCUGAAUAAAUCCAGGUUAGAAAUGAUGCAGCUUAACAAAAGCUAUUUUCUUGGAAGCGCUUAAGGUGAACUUGUGUGACUGCAGCAAAAACUGAGUUUGUAACCGAAUGGUGUCUGUAUGUCAACCUAAAAUAAGACCACCUUCACCUAAAUGCCCUCACUGGCCUUCCUUUGCUUCAAACACAAGCAAAGUCUUUAGGAGUUCUGCAAAAUCUGGUUUUGGUUGGUUGGGUUUUAUUUUCCUCCCAAGACUUGUCUUGGGGAGGGGCUUGUAUCCAUCUCUUAGAGAUGAGGCACUCUGAGAGGAGCAUUCCAGGGAGUUCUUUCUGUGUUCCUUCCCAAUGUUCCUUUUUUUAAUUGUGUAAGGGCAGGAGUGGUGACAGGAAACACACGUGCUUUUCUGGUUCUCCUCAAAGUCUUUUUUGUGGUUGUUCAGAACCAAGACCAUUCUAGUAGUUGAGUUUUUCGUCCCUUUGCAAAAAGUAGUUUUUUUCAAGUGCAGCAAAAAACUAUUUCCCAGAAUUGAAAACAGGAUAAUCCUGUGCUUGCUCUACAUACAGUAUGAUGCAUAACAUUCAAAGUCUGCAACCGAGUAUUAACUGAAGCUCCUUUAUGUUUAGGGAUAAACUGGCAGUUCUUCAAACAUUGGCUUCUACUGUGAAAAGGGUAAGUAGUUCCCUUGAUCACGGAAAUAAGUCAGUUUGUCCAUCUCACGUGCCAGCCUUGCGCUCUGGGGGCUCUUCUGCUUUGUCCAUAAGUGAAAGAUGGGACUUUAACAUCCAUUUUUUGUAGGGUUUCACUUUUGCUCAACACAUUUUGCUGUGUCCUUAAAGGUUUAUUUUAGUGCUAAGAGAGCUGCAACUCCCAGUGGAAGCUGUAAUACUUUGAGAAGGCUUUUGCUAACAUCAGAAGCAAGUUCGUUUACCACUUCAGCUUGCCAACCCAGAUUGCCUCUUUCCAGUCUCAGUCCAGAAAGCAAGCCUUGAUAGAGCAAUGAGUGUCUACUAAACAUCUGUAAAUGCAGUGAUGCUAUUUUUUAAUCCUCUGGCUUGAAUCCUGGAAGUUGAAUCUAAUCCUGCGAAUUCCCUCAGCUCCCCCAGGACUGUUACAAUUGGGUUUGUCCUUGCUUUGCAGGGCAUUUGCUGCUUGCUAUGUUAUAGUAAGGACCCUUCUGUUGUCACUGUGUUAGCCUGUCUGUGUGUGUGUAUAAUGGAGAUGCUUUUUAAGCUCUUUCCAAACAGGCUAAACCCUUUUGAACUAUAGGAACUUCUGUAAAAUGGGCUUCAGCUGGUGAUUAUGUCCUAAAUUCCACGAGGCAGUAUGAUAUACCUGCGGUGUCGAUGUGUACAUAACUAAACAUUUCAAUCCUUGGGUUUUACUUUCUACAGG
ensembl:lncRNA